rnacentral:rRNA from 1 species
AGUGAACGCUGGCGGUAGGCCUAACACAUGCAAGUCGAACGGCAGCACAGUAAGAGCUUGCUCUUACGGGUGGCGAGUGGCGGACGGGUGAGGAAUACAUCGGAAUCUACUUUUUCGUGGGGGAUAACGUAGGGAAACUUACGCUAAUACCGCAUACGACCUACGGGUGAAAGCAGGGGAUCUUCGGACCUUGCGCGAUUGAAUGAGCCGAUGUCGGAUUAGCUAGUUGGCGGGGUAAAGGCCCACCAAGGCGACGAUCCGUAGCUGGUCUGAGAGGAUGAUCAGCCACACUGGAACAGAGACACGGUCCAGACUCCUACGGGAGGCAGCAGUGGGGAAUAUUGGACAAUGGGCGCAAGCCUGAUCCAGCCAUACCGCGUGGGUGAAGAAGGCCUUCGGGUUGUAAAGCCCUUUUGCUGGGAAAGAAAAGCAGCAGGUUAAUACCCCGCUGUUCUGACGGUACCCAAAGAAUAAGCACCGGCUAACUUCGUG